UUUUCUGCCUCUGGUUUUAUGGCUCUGCCUGCCCCUUGUCUGACGCCUCUAGCCCUGGAAUUCGACCCUGUUUCUGUCCCUGGAUUUACGCCUCAGCCUAACCACUGGUUUAUUCAGCCUGAGCCUGCCUGGCUCUCAAGUCUGCCUGGGAUUAUUGUCAAAAGGACAAUCACAGCUCUCUGUGUUCCUGUCACAGCUUCAGCUGAUUCCUCGGAGGAUUUGGAUCAGUCAGCAAUCCGACUUCAGUCUGUUGGACGCUUCCUCAUUAACUUGUCUGGAUCACAUUCUCUUCUGGAUUCUGUGCCUCAUCCCCAGACUGAGAAGUGGUUCCUGGAAGCUGACUGCUGUUCUUCUGCUUUCUGAUCCUGAGUUACUGAAUAAACCUUUUAACUUAUCACUUUGUGUUUGGCUGAAUUUGGGUUCUGUCUCUGGUCGUGGUAAGCAGCUUCUUCUCCAGAUCAAUUAAACAUUUUUUACCAGACCUUUUUGAUCUAGCCAAAAAAUUUUUUCUUGCAGGUGGUGUCCCUAAAUUUCCUAAAUUAAAUUCUUUUAUCACCUCAAGUUUUUGUGAUCAAAGAAUAUUAACAGACUAUCUGUCCGCAUAUGUCAAAGUUACUCCUAUAUGAAUGACCCUGCUAUUAAUAUUAUUGAUGUGGAUACUGGUAUUUAUUCUGUGUAAUGAUGACCUAUUUAAGUCCUUGUUUAUGAUAACAGCCCCAGCAAAAACAGAAGAAAUGUGUAACUUUUAAUGUGAAUAAUAAAGCUGAUUCUUGAUUAUGCUAA